AUUGAACGCUGGCGGCAGGCCUAACACAUGCAAGUCGAACGAGUGGCGGACGGGUGAGUAAUGUCUGGGAAACUGCCUGAUGGAGGGGGAUAACUACUGGAAACGGUAGCUAAUACCGCAUACCAUCAGAUGUGCCCAGAUGGGAUUAGCUAGUUGGUGGGGUAACGGCUCACCAAGGCCACGAUCCCUAGCUGGUCUGAGAGGAUGACCGGCCACACUGGAACUGAGACACGGUCCAGACUCCUACGGGAGGCAGCAGUAGGGAAUAUUCGGCAAUGGGCGAAAGCCUGACCGAGCCAUGCCGCGUGUGUGAAGAAGGCCUUCGGGUUGUAAAGUACUUUUAGCGGGGAGGCGGUACCUAAAGAAGAAGCACCGGCUAACUCCGUGCCAGCAGCCGCGGUAAUAC
rnacentral:rRNA from 1 species